AAAGACUUAGUCCUAACCUUACCGUUAACUCGUGCUAAACAUAUACAUGCAAGUAUCCGCACACCAGUGUAAAUGCCCUCAACUCCUUGCUCAAGGUAACAGGAGCAGGCAUCAGGCGCACCCACUGAUCGUAGCCUAAGACGCCUUGCUUCGCCACGCCCCCACGGGUACUCAGCAGUAAUUAACAUUAAGCAAUAAGCGUAAGCUUGACUUAGUUAUAGCACUAUUAUCAGGGCCGGUAAAUCUUGUGCCAGCCACCGCGGUCACACAAGAGACCCAAGUUAACCGCAUACGGCGUAAAGAGUGGGUACUUCCUAUCCAAACAACUAGGAUUAAAACGCAACUGAGCCGUCAUAAGCUAAAGUUGCACCUAAAACCGCCCCAAAACGAUCCUACCCCUACGAUUGAUUAACCCCACGAAAGCCAGGACACAAACUGGGAUUAGAUACCCCACUAUGCCUGGCCCUAAAUCCUAAUACUUCCCCUACCAAAGUAUUCGCCCGAGAACUACGAGCACAAACGCUUAAAACUCUAAGGACUUGGCGGUGCCCUAAACCCACCUAGAGGAGCCUGUUCUAUAAUCGAUAAUCCACGUUACACCAAACCACUCUUCGCCUAAACAGCCUACAUACCGCCGUCACCAGCUCGCCUCUGUGAGAGGUUAACAGCGGGCUCAAUAGCCUCACCGCUAGCAAGACAGGUCAAGGUAUAGCCCACAGAGUGGAAGAAAUGGGCUACAUUUUCUAAAAUAGAAAACUACGAAAGGGGGCAUGAAACAGGCCCCCGGAAGGCGGAUUUAGCAGUAAAGCAGGACAAUAAAGCCCCAUUUAAGUUGGCCCUAGGGCACGUACAUACCGCCCGUCACCCUCCUCACAAGCUACAACCUCCCACUAACUAAUCCCCCAACCAGCUGAAGAUGAGGCAAGUCGUAACAAGGUAAGUGUACCGGAAGGUGUACUUAGCAUAC
rnacentral:ncRNA from 1 species